rnacentral:rRNA from 1 species
CCUACGGGAGGCAGCAGUGGGGGAUAUUGCACAAUGGGGGAAACCCUGAUGCAGCGACGCCGCGUGAGUGAAGAAGUAAUUCGUUAUGUAAAGCUCUAUCAGCAGGGAAGAAAAUGACGGUACCUGAGUAAGAAGCCCCGGCUAACUACGUGCCAGCAGCCGCGGUAAUACGUAGGGGGCAAGCGUUAUCCGGAUUUACUGGGUGUAAAGGGGGCGUAGACGGCAGUGCAAGUCUGGAGUGAAAGGCCGGGGCCCAACCCCCGGACUGCUCUGGAAACUGUGUGGCUGGAGUGCAGGAGAGGCAAGUGGAAUUCCUAGUGUAGCGGUGAAAUGCGUAGAUAUCAGGAGGAACACCAGUGGCGAAGGCGGCCUACUGGACUGUAACUGACGUUGAGGCUCGAAAGCGUGGGGAGCAAACAGGAUUAGAUACCCGAGUAGUC